AACGUAGGCGCCAGAAUGUGCAGGAAUCUCAAUCCACAAUAUUCUGAAGUUUCCCGUUUGAAGUAGACUUCUUAUUGCAGAUGUUUUCUCCCGGAGUUAGCUAGCUAACUUAAUCGCUAGUUGAAUAGUACAUUUUUACCUUCGUUGUUAACGUUGUUUUUUUGUUUGGUUCAAGCUAAUACACCAUUAAAAAGGUCAGAAUGCACGCGUCCACCAUGGUACACAUUCCAUCGUCUACCAACUGCAGAAGAAGACUAAGCGAUUGUGGUUGCGAAAUCUCCAAUGAAAGAAACCACCGAAGACAUUGUGUGUGCUCGUUCCACUUUGUUGACCAAGUCGAGAACCCUUACCCAACCCUAUGACUAGGCUGCGAUAGAGCUCCAGAGAAGAAACGCCAACGACAGUUGCAAAGAGUCACUGACAACAUUAUGACAGCAGGUGACUGUCAAGCAUGGGCGAGUUAGUCACCUCCUGCACCCCAGGGCUUCUCUGAUGCUCAGUCACAAUGGAUGGAUCCCAUUCUGGAGGGCCACAACUAUUGCAGUCUAACUAUACAGAUCAGCAGUGCCAUGGAGAUGACCCAGGUAUCCAAUGAGGGAUCGAGAACUUUUGCCGACAGUCUGGUUGCCAAACCUGCAGAUACUAUACAGUAUAUCACAAAAAUUUGGAGCCUCAGGUCACAUUUGACCUCCAGGAUCCAGAAUCCCAGCUGCCGACCAGGGAUGGCCAGGAUGCACCACCAUGCCUUUUCUCUCCACAGCAAAUCCUCUGCCUUCCAUCAGUUGUGUGCCUUUGUACUUGUUGCAGUACCAAGUGGCAGAAUUCCCACUAAAAGCCAGGAGCAAGUUCAUUUAAGAAUUUUCCUGGGUUUGUUGUGCUGCGUCUAGGAAAUUUUUGUGCUGUGCUGGCAGUGAUGCGCAGCAUCCUUGCAUUGUGCCCCAGCUGGGAGGCGCUCUGCGUCUGUGUUUCAUGCAUCAACCUAUCCACUUGGUCUGGGCUUGGCUUAACGAAGGCAUUGUAAAAAGUUACACACAUCACAGGUUAACUUAGUGCCAUGGUCAUUGUGAGACAAUUGUGGGUCAAAAGGUAGGCCUCAAUGUAAUAUCUCAGAUAGAGGAUUGUAUGUCUCACCACCAGUGAACUAUAAUAUCUUUGAUAGAUUGUUGU
ensembl:lncRNA